GACGACGCUGGCGGCGUGGAUUAGGCAUGCAAGUCGAACGGUAUCAUCCUUUCGGGGGUGAGAGAGUGGCGAACUGGUGAGUAACACGUAGGUUAUCUACCCUCAAGACGGGGACAACCCAGGGAAACUUGGGCUAAUACCGGAUGUGAGCAACUUUUAGUUGUUUGAAAGGUGGCGUAAGCUGUCGCUUGGGGAUGAGCCUGCGUCCUAUUAGUUAGUUGGUGAGGUAACGGCUCACCUAGGCAAUGAUAGGUAGGCGGCCUUAACGGGUGGUCGCCCACACUGGGGAUUGAGAUACGGCCCAGACUCCUACGGGAGGCAGCAGUCGAGAAUAGUCUACAAUGGUCGGAAGACUGAUAGUGCGACGCCGCGUGAACGAUGAAUCCCUUCGGGGUGUAAAGUUCUUUUAUAUGUGAGCAGUGCUUCUUAUAUUAACAGUAUGGGGAGAGAGAUAUUAGCAUAUGAAUAAGCAACGGCUAACUCCGUG
rnacentral:rRNA from 1 species